GGAAGGACAUUAACCCUGAGUCGGUUCUACCGGCAGACCCCAAAACCACAUGAGAACCCGGGUGCGAUUGUCUGUUGAAGGGUGACGCCCGCUCUGGGGCUAGCUCGAAACCUUAUGCAAACCGUUUUCGGAUACUGAACUUACUAAAGUGGAUCAUUUAACUAAAUACAACUCUUAACAGUGGAUAUCUUGGUUCCCACAACGAUGAAGAACGCAGCGAAAUGCGAUACGUAAUGCGAAUUGCAGAAUUCAGUGAAUCAUCAAAUCUUUGAACGCAAGUUGCGCUUUCGAGAUAUCCUUGAAAGCAUGCCUCUUUGAGUGUCGGUUUCUAUUCUCCCGGAAACGCCGUGUGCGUGAAGGGGACUCUGAGCUCUGGUCGGUCCAUGGCUUGAAAGAUCAUGCAACCCGGUGCGCGUCUCUGGCUUCUGAUUCGUCUCUAACCAUUGGCGUGCCCGGUCACAUAGAACCAUUUCUGACUCUAGAUCUCAAAUGAGGUAAGACUACCCGCUGAAUUUAAGCAUAUCAAUAAGCGGAGGA
rnacentral:rRNA from 1 species